UGCCCAUGAAGGUGGUGGACAUGUUCGGG
rnacentral:piRNA from 1 species